GGCCGGAUAGCUUAGAGGUCAAAGCUUUUCCGAGCCGAGUAAUGGAAGUGACCCAGGUUCGACUCCUGGUCCAGCCG
rnacentral:tRNA from 2 species